rnacentral:lncRNA from 1 species
UUCCCUAAUAAGGGACUCGGCAAAAUAAUCAUCAUAUAUAUACAUCAUACGUACCCGGCCCUCUAGUGAGGGACUCGGUGAAAUAGUCAUCACAUCAUCUCCGUCAUCAUCAUCAUCAUAACCAUCCUCAUCACCAAUCAUAUAUAUAAUAUACAUACCCGGCCCUCUAGUGAGGGACUCGGUGACAUAUGCAAGAAACUCCGCACGAACAUUACCCGGCCCGGGACUCGGUGAAAUGAUAAAUGACUCUAUGCAGGAGCAGAAUAUUAUGAGCAACCAUAUGCAAUUAAAAUCAUUUUUUAUAACUCAAUAGAACAAUCAACGUGAACCAGCAAGGGGUAUUACCAAAGAUUAAUGUUUUAUCAAGAUUAUGAACCUUUAAUAUGAUAUGGAAACGUAAAAUCUCAAUGACUCUAAGAAGCACUACCAUAGAUAUGAGAAAUCACCAUAGCCUUAGACAUAGCCGAUAUAUAGAGGAAUAGUUGUGGAAACAAGAAUAUACGUCACCUAGACGCUCUAGAAGUAAGUAUCAAACUUGUCCGUCAUUAGCUCAUUUUUAAAAGUCAUGCCAAACAAAGAAAGAAAGGAUAGCGUUACAUACCGUAUAGUCGAGCCGCACGUCCAAUAUUUACUACUCAAGCUAUUAAUCUAUAACAAGCAACAAUCGUGCCGCAAUUAGAUAGACGUCGCGCUUUACUACUUAUUGUAAGCUAGCUAAUAAUCUAACGAAAAUCCGGCAACACUUCCCCUAUUUUGCUCACUUCGUCCCAAUCCAACAACAACCCAAAUUAUCCACAGCAAUACCAAUAACACAUAUAACCCAACGAACCAUAUAUAAACAGCCCCUCCCCCCAAAACAGUUCCGUCUCGGCAACCAUAGUAACGAAACAACGACACACCGAGCGAUAACUCUUUUUAUAAUUCGCAACAUAUCGACCUUAUCGUAUUCAUCCUUUGGAGUAUAUACCCAAUCACAUUAACAUAAAACAUAACACCAAAACAGAAUUUCCCGCAUUUUUCUUUAAUAAAAAAAGCCCAAAUACUAACACGACACCACUAAUAACCUGAUUAUGGUUUCCGUUCAUACUUAGCACAUUCAAUAACUAAAACAAAUUUUCAAAGCUACUGGUCAUGCCCCCUUAUUAACAUUAAUGGCUAAUUAACAAUGGCAUUCUAAGGAAUUAACACACCAAGCAAAGAAAUUACUAACCAAAUUCUUUUGUAGCUGCUGGCCGAGAGUUGCAUGGUUGGUUUUAUCCAUUUCCAUGGCUACCUAAGCUAAGUGGUGAAGAAGAUGAUAUGUUUGCAAUGCAUUUCACCACCUCAUUCAUAAUAUGAAGUGGAGGCAGCCCCCCUCUACACGUGCCCCACUAAGGUCCAGCUCCCAAUCUGAUUUCUUUCAAUUUGCCUUGAGUGGUGGAGCCCACUUGAUUAAUUUAAUCUUAGUCAGCCACUAGUUAAUCCCUUACUUAGUUAAUGACACUUACAUUAGACAAAUCAUACUUAAUAUCACAUUUGGAAUUAACAUCCUUGCCUAAUAUUUCUUUAAUCACUUGGAACUUAAAAUAAAAUCUCAUUCCCCGGGCUUACACCUACUAGUUCAUGAUGCUCACUACGUAUAAAAAUACGAGGCGUAACAUAAACUGUGUGAUAUCCAAUUAUGAUAAGAAAUCAUUUUACCAAAAAAGUUCCUAUGUUUUGAAAUAAGAUACUUCAGUAAAUUGGGUAAAACUUCAAUUACUAAUAAUAUCCACCGAUAAAAUUUAGCAUAAAUACACAACAAUAUAACAAACAAAUAUAUGGGCUGCAAAGAUAUUAACUCUCAAAGGAUUUUCUGAAGAAUACAAAAUCACAUCCUUCUUUGGGAAGGAAUAACAUUGUCGAUGAACAAAAUGAGAUUUGUAAGGGCUAUUUUUAAUGUACCUUCAACAAUUUAAGUACAUAAAACUUUCUUGAAUAUUAAUUAAGAUUUGUUAUUUAAUCUGUACUAAGAAAUUCUUAUAACAAUAAUUUUACAUAAACAUUACCAACAAAGUUUAAAACAUUUAUUCAAAAACAAUAAUUAAUUAUAUAAGUAUAAACUAAUGAUUGUAAAAAUAUACCAGGAUAUGCAACAAUAAAUGUAACCAAAUAAAAAAUAUCGCGUUCACUAAAUGAACAAUGUAAGUCAUCUAUUCAUAGACAACAAAGAAUAGUGUAGAAAUAUGAUUAUUGUGUCUUAUCUAACUGUACCACAUUAUUUAUUUAUAUUGUCAAAUAAAAAUCAGUUUUAAAUUUAUGUAAUUUAAUUCCUAGUACAUUGGUAACUGAUUAAGAGUUCUUUUUCUUCCUUUGUAAAACUCCAUAAUUUAAAUUAUUAAAAUUUUAUAGAUCAAAAUUUCAUUAGUUUUUUGGCAUACUUACAAAUAACAUAUGCCACCAAAAUAGUAAAUUUUUAGGGUUUUGGACAAUUAAAAUAAAUGUCUAUGAUUAUAUAAUAUAAAAUGUGUUUCAAUUUUAAAAACAAAAUAGAGUCUACACUUGUAUUAAACUAAAAGCCCUUAUAAUAAUACGAAUUUUGAAAAUAUACUAUUUAAAACCCCACUUCCCCUGAAUUUCCUCGUGUUCACACAUUUCCUAAUUUGAAACUAUUUUUUUUAAAAAAGAUUAAUUUUAAUAUUUAAAUAAUAUAUAACUGGAACAUGAAAACUUAAUGAUAAGCCUUAUCCAUUACACAUGAUAAUUGUAUGAAUUAAUGAAUUUAAAAACUUAAUUAAGAGAAAAAAUUAAGGCUUGAAGAGUGGAACCGUUUGCCACUUCAUAAUUACACAUGUAUUAGUGUUAGACCUCAUUUGUUUCUGUUAAGAUUAAGAGGUCAGGAUCUGAAUACAUAUUUGAAUAUCAAUAUUUGCAUUAAGAUUCAGGUGUUUUAAUAUGAAUACACAUCAAAACACUAAAUAACUAGUGUUGUUUGUUUUUUCAAUAUAUGAAUGUGCAUUUGAAAUUAACAUUAAAUUAGUAAAAUAUCAUAAAAGUUUCAUUUUAACAAAAUAUAUCACUUUUGAUUAAAAGAAAGUUUUAAUAAUCAUGAUUUGGAGUACAAUUUUUUUAUUCAAAAACAUUGAUAAACACCAAUGCACCAACAAUGUUCUUGAGACAGUCAAUACAAGAAAAUUUUUGAUAUAAAAAAAACUUGAAAGAAUUUAUUAAAACUUACCAAUUCAAGAGGGAAUAAUGGUGUUUGAUUGAGAAAAGAGAUAAAGAAAGUUUUUAGUUAUGAGAUAAAAAAGCAGGCUGAGAAGCGAUGUUAUUAUUUGAUAACUUAUUGAAUGAGUCUGAAUGUUGUUAACAUACUCCUAUAGAUCUUAUCUAUUUAGACCUCUUCAGACUCAUUAAGAGGUUUUCUAAAAAAACAAAAUAAAUGAACUUAAUAGGUGAAUUUAAAUAAUUCAGAUUCAGACCUAAAAACCAAACUACUUAGUAGGUUAAAUUUGAAUGAUUAAGAUUUAGACUUUCAUUAAGUGCAAACAAAUGAGGCCUUAGUCCGAAGAAUAAUGUAAUUGGAGGCAUUAACAACAACAAUAGGAUAGUCAUCAAUUGUUUUCCGAAAUACUUACAAAUCCUUGAUAGUUUUUAUAUAUUUAUUUUUUGCCAUUUUUUUAUUUUUUUUUGUUCCUAAUUGCAAGUAAUAACUCUUAGAGGUAAAUAAUGUUUGGUUAUGAUUUUUGUGUUUUUUCAUAUGACUUUGAAUUUUUGGAUGAACCGUUAUAUAGUUCAUUUUUUCUUUUCAAGAAGCACAAACAUGGAUUGUUAAAUUAAAAAAUUUUGAUAUGUGGAUUAAUUACUAAUAAAAUAAAUUUUGAUCAAGAGAUGGGCGACAAAUUUAGAGUAUAAGGAAUAGCUAUAUUUUCGCCUUUUUCAAAUAUAUUUUAAAAUUUGUGCUUGGAUAAUUAAUUUAAAAAAUAUUUGUGAUUCACGAUUGACUUAGUAUUUUUAAAAAUUGAUUAUGAGAGUUAAAUUAAGAAGAAAGUAAAAUGCAAUUUUAAUAUGAAGAUUAAUUAUUUUAUAGAGAAAAAUUAUUUUAAAUAUCUAUUAUAAAAUUUUUAAGUAAUAGUUAAUUUCAAUUAAAUUAAUAUGUAGAUAUUUAAAUUUUAAUUUAAUAUUAUACAUAUAUAAAUAAAAAUAAAUUUAAAAACUCAAAUCCGUAAAAGUAUGGUGCAACUUAUGCAACAUGAGUCUUUUAUGUAUUUAUUGAAUUGAAAUGAAAUGACAAUAGAAGAAUAGCAAAAAUAUAAUGAUAAUAUUCCAUAACGAAAGGGACAAAAUCUUAAGAAAAAAUUGACAUAUUAAAGAAUUCACACAAAUCGAGUCUUUUAUAUCUCGAUUGUAUUGAAAUUAAAAAUAUUUUUUGAAAUUCUUUUUUAUAUUAAGCUGCAUAUAAGUUAUGUCAAACAUCAUGGUCAUAAGAAACAAAUUCAAACAAAUUAGCAAAAAAGUGAAGAUGCAUGUCUACUUAUCACACUUUAAGAAGACUUUUUUUACUUUAGAAAUUUCUGAGUUUGGCAAUUAUUUUAUACUUAAAAGAAAAUUUUGUGACAUGAUUAUAAUUGAGAUUUUAUUGAGUGUCCUCAAAUAUAGUUUUUCUUAAAUAAUUUCUUAUAUUAUUUUUAUCAUAUUAUUAUUAUUAUAUUUUUAUUCUUAAUCAAUACAAUAAAAAUAUAUUUUCUUAAAUUUUGAGAACUAAUACAUAGGUAAUAAAAAACUUUCUCAUUGAUUUUCUCUAUCUUCUUAAUGAUAUUUUUUUCUAAUUUGUUUUUGCAAUAAGGAUUUAAUUUGAUAGGAAUUUUUUUUCUUAUAUACACGUAUCCGUUCAUUCUAUUAAUAAAAACUGAUUUGGAAAUUAAUUUUUAAUAUAUAUAUAUAUAUAUAUAUAUAUAUAUAUAUAUAUAUAUAUAUAUAUCAUAUAAUUAUAUGUAUCAUAUAAAAAAUAUCAUAUAAUUAUAUGUAUUUUUUUCAAAAAAAUAAAAUUUAUGAUAAAAAUAAAAGAUAAAAUUUAAUAUUUUGAAUAUCAUUCUUAUAAUUUGAUAAUAAAAUGUUUAAAGAUGUUUUAUGGUUGAAAUUGUCAUAAUCAUAAUCAUAAAACUUCUCUUUGUUACAAUUUAUCUUUUUCUAAUAUUUAACUUUAUUAGAUUUUUAUUUUCCCAACAAGAUGAUGAUACAGACAGAUUGUGAGAGUAUCUAUGAUUUUAAAUAAUCUUAUAAAUAAAUGAAAUAAUACUAAAAUUAAUUAUUGUAGACAAUGUCGAUAACGUAUAAACUUUAAUAUUGAUUUGUUUUCGCAAGUAUUCUACUAUAACAUAUCAAUCUAUCAGAUGUUAACACUCUCUAAUAUAAACAUUACUAUAUUAUUUUAUAAAUUGACUUUGAAAUUAUCAAUAAAUUAUACACAACACGGAUACGUAUACUAAUCUAUAUAAUAGGAAAAUACAAAAUGACACAUAUCAACACUAUAAUUUUUUCAUAAUUUUAAACUAUAAAUGAUUGAACAUUGUAUAACUAAUAAAAUAUUCUCAAUUCUAAGUUUAAAAUAAAAAUAUGCAUGUGAAAUAAAGACCAAUUGAUUAUUUAACUCAUCUUCAAUGAACGUUAAAUAGAUUAUUACUAUUAUUGUUUGAAAUAUUAUCGAGGACAGAUUUAGAUUUACUAUAAGUGAAAUAGAUUAUAUAAGAGUUGGAGUUUUCACAUGUGAUGAAUAUAAUAUUUAUGACAACAUAAUAAAUAUAUCAGUUUUUUGUUUCAAAUUUAUAAAUAAUAAAAAAAACUAGAGCAGUUUCAUAAUCACUCAACAAGGAAACUUCAACUACAUCGAUAGACUAUAUUUUUAAAUGCAUGCAUUAUACAUCGAACUUCUUUCACUAAAACAAUUACGUUUUCUCUGAAAUUUGAAAACAGACAUGACUACACAAUUUUAAUACAAAUUGAGAAAUUACAGCCAAAUAUAUGCAAUGAACCUGAUAACCGUGUUGUUCGCUUGUGGAUAAUACCAUAUAAAUCGAAGUCGUGAAUAAUACCUUACUCUUUAGAGAUGGUUUUGCAGGACGAAAAGGUAAUAUUCAUAUAAAUAUUUUUUUAUUUACACGAUAAUAAGUAUCAUAAUACAAUUAGUUUAUAGAUACAAUUCCCUUAUAUUUAUUCAUUAGUUUUUAUUUACGUAAUUUUUCAAAUUCUUCAUUCUUAGAAAUUUUGUUUGAUAUUUUUAUUUUUAUUUGUAAAUUGUGAUAAUCAUAGUAUAACAUAUUAUGUCUCAAUUUUUUUCUUCGGUUACAAUAGAUAUAUAUUCAAAUAAGGAGUGAAGAGGUAUAUUUUGAGUUUGUUAGUUUGAUUCUUAAGUUUUAAUUAGUGGAGUAAUUAGAAUGUUGAUUUUGUUUUGUUGAUAUUUUAUGAUUAAUUGAGUUGAUGCUUUCAAGUGUUAAUUUUCCUUAAAAUUUAAAUUAUUAUUUCAAUAUAAUACUUAAACUGUUAUAUAUAUAUAUACAGAGAGAGAGAGAGAGAAUAAUUGAGGUACACAUAAUAAAUCAAAAAAAUAUAACAGUUUGAGUAUUAUAUUGACAUAAUAAUUUUAAUUUUAAGGAAAAUUAACACUUGAAAGAAUCAUUUGAUUACUUCACUAGAUACUUGUCAUAGUAUUAUCACUAGCCAAUUCAAUUACUUCAUGAAUGAAUUAUAGUAGUCUAACAUGUUAAACAAGCCAACUUUUUACCUUUGAUUAGUCUAUGAAACAAUUCAAUGAACAACUUAUAACAAUUUCAUCUUCUCGAACACAAGUAGGCAUUACAACAUUCAUAUCUCAUGUAAAUAACACCCUAAGCAUGCAGAUCUAACAUGUAGGUUUCAUUCGACAUAUAAAUCACUAAAACAUACACAUAAUGAUCAGUUAGCACCACGUACAAUCAUCAUGCUCAAGAUUUACAUCAUACAAAUUACAAGAAUUGGAAAUUAGGAGAACUAGGGAGAUGAACAUGCGACUCAUUGGGAGUAACCCUAGUUUCGAUAUUCUUGAUUCCAAAACGUUUGAAAAGCCUCUUGGAGAAAGAAUUCCAGGAGAGAAAUCUCAUACCUUAUGUAGAAUUGAAUCUACGAAUAUCACCUUGCACCUUUUCACAAAUACUUAAAAGAACUUCUUGAAAUCGCCUAAGGAGAACUUUUGUUUUUCUUGCAUUUUACUGCUUUCAAGUCGUGUGUUUCUUAGUGAAUGAUUGUGUGUCUAGGUCUAGGAACCGAAUAUUUAGUAAUUUAACUUAGACUAAUUAACUUCAUUAAUAAAUCAAUUAGCUAAUUUACUAAAAUGCUCCUCCUAAAUUGACUAGAAUUAGAAAAACACUUGACUUGACCAAAAUCUAGAAAUUGCUUAGUGGUUUUGGUUUUGACCAAUUAAAUUAAUUAAUUAAGUUGCUAAUUUAAUUAAUUAGGUCCUAGGAUAAUUACUAAAGUAACCCUAAGUUGUUAGGACCAUAAUCAACCCUUUGGACCAUCCUAGGUUAGGUACUAUGAUGUUUCUUAGUUAGUUACUUGUCUAGUGUAAGGAUUUCGGUUUGACCAUUUAAAUUAAUUAAUUAAGUUGUUAAUUUAAUUAAUUAAGUAACCUAGGGUAAUUACUAAAGUACUCCUAAGUCAUUAGGACCAUAACCAACCCUUUUGGACCAUCCUAGGUUAGGUACUAAGAUGUUUCUUGAGUUAGUUACUAGGUUAGUGUCACCCGGUUUGGUCUUAGGUUGUCGGGUGCACUAGUUAGUUUAUUUCAGAUAGUCCUAGGUUAGUUAGCUAGUUAAGUAAGUUAGAUAGAGCCUAGAGCUUUUUAGGAAGCUCAUCCUCACAUGGCACGACACCCACAUGUGCGCCUGCCCCUAACCGCCCUAACCACCCUAACCAAAUUCUUGCACAUGGGUUGCUGCUCAUUUCUUGUUGUUCCAAGUAUCCUCACUAUAUUCUUGGGCACUUUUUACUCUGCAUGAUCAUUUUAAUUGAUCAUGUGCUAUGGUACCUAGGCUUGACACUUGGAUGCCUCGUACAUAGUAUUGUAAGCUAUGAAAUCUAUAUUUUAUCCUAGGGUCUUCAUUGUAGGUACAAUUCCUAAACUAGAUUGGAUUGGCGCAUUUGCACACCAAAGCAUAUCUUAAUACAUAAAAAUUGGCUAAAAAUCAAAGUGUAUUUUAAGUUACUUGUUGAUACAUAAAAUUUGGCUAACACCCUUAAGCCAAUAUUCUCUAACAUUCCCAAUAUUACUAAAUAUUGGGCAUUAGGAUGCCUAUCCCAAUACAUACUCUUAAAACUUAAUAGUCUUUCACUAGACGAGUACAUUUUUAGGAAUGUUACAAUAGAAUCACCCCCUCAAAAUGGAUUAUCAUCAACGUACAUCAUGCAACCUUAAUUUGACCAUACUCAGCCCUAGUUCAUUAUCUAAGGCUUCUUCCUAGGGUUUAAAUAAUAAAUAAUUCAGUACACGAAGUCCUAUGCAUAGUUCCUACCAUUGAUUACAUAUAUUACACAGUGAGCACAUAUUUAAACUCCUCAAUUCAUAAACACCUAGCCUACUUGGGCGCCAAGUAGUUGCACAAAGUUUUGAACCUCAAUUAUGAUUUUUUUUCAAGCUUCAUGAUGGUGAAUUUGGCUGGUAUAUGCAAGAUAUCACCAUCGUCUCGCAAAAAAAUCAUAUUCUCCUCCCUUACCAAGGAUAGAGUUGCUUUUUGAGGUUUCUAGCGUGUACUAUAUAAGGUAUUGACUUGAAUGUUGGGGCAUAGAUUAUCUCCGACUGGAAGAUGUCUAUCGGUGUAAACAGAAGGUGUUCUUUCUUCUUGGUCUUAUUACUAUGCUAUGUAAGCGAGCAGGAGUUCCAAUGAUUGAUGUUGAAGAGGUACUUCCUAUGAUCACCCUUCACCCUCUUUUUUUGGAGAAGGUUAUACUUCUAGGAGAAAGAGGAGAAGGACUGGUAGUUCUUGUAGUGGUUAGACGAAUGUAGGGUUGGACGAGGAGGGAGGUUAUGACACUCGUCCCCCAAUUUCCAAGUCACAAGGUAGAGUAGGACUUCGAUGAUUUAUUAUGGAAUAUGGGGUGCCCUUUUAAUCCCACCAUUCUGGUUCCCCGAUCAUUGUCCUAAAGCUUUUGAUGCUCUGGCGCAAGCUAUGCCCGGAGAGUAGGAAGAACCUAGAGAGGGACCGUAUGAUAAUUUGGCUCCAAAAGACAGUGAAGAUCAUGUUUACGUGCAUCAUCCCAAUGGAAGAACACCCUAGUGGAGAACGUUUAUCACAUUUAGUUUUUGGUUCAGGAUGAGGCUGUGACCGGCCUUUUUGACUGAUAUGGGUGAGUUCGGACACCAUUCGGGGUCUAAAAUAAUUAUUUGAAAAAUAAGGAAGACAUGCCGAGGUUCUUCCUGUUUCAUCCUGCCAUGGUGGGAAUAAUCCUUCCCCAGGAGAAAAAUGGAGAUAGAACUGCUAAGAUUUUUCUGGGGCUCUUUACUUUUUUAAAAUUUCCAAAAAAGUCCUCAACUUCACCCUGCAAUUCAAGAGUAAUUUCUAUAACUAGGACUAUUGUGGUAUACCCUCCAUUCAAUCCCAUGAUAUGCAAGUCAAUUCAAUCUCGUUAAUUUAGAAACCCAACCCGUACAUCCAUAGGAUACACCCCGACAUUUACAUCUCCCUUAUUUAAACCAAUUAGCCAAAAAGUUGGACAUAAUAAGGUUCAAACACACAUUUGUAAUGCAUGAAAUUUCAUCCCCAAAAGCUAGAUAACAAUUGGAACCUUCCCAGUUCUAAUUAACAUUUUGGUUUCCCUUCACUCAUAUCAACGACGUCCAAUUCACUUUGUUGAGAUAUCAAUUGGAAUCGAGCGAUAUCAAAUGGUCACAACUCAUACCACAAGCGACACUCGCAUAAAGAAGAUAAUAAGUGGAAUAAUUUACUAGAAUACGUCCUAGCCUCCUAUAUAUUAUAUGUGGACGUUAACACACCAAUCCGCAAGAGUCUAGUCUACAUUUUGCUCUUGUACGGGGAGACCGAUAACCUAGUCUCGUAUACCAAUUUAUCAGUACCCAACCAACCAGGUCGUGUGGGUAUCCACUCUAACACCUAAGUAGGAGAACCCUCAUACCCAAAUAGUUAAACCCUCAUUUGUCUUCACCUAAUGAAACGCCAUAAAUAUUGUAUUCAGACUAUGCAAAAAAGGCAUAGUAAGAGUAUUAUCAAUAUAAACACACGUACUAUAGGCAUCAUCGAUCAACCCAACGCCCACCGCAUAAAUAAGAAAUUAACUAGAAGAAAUAUAUAAUCUAGCAUUUCUUCCCCACUCUUUUUCAUCUCUUAAAACACCUCAAAUUGACACUAGUACUCUCACUACUAAACACCUUCUCGAUCUACCCACUUACCAGGUACUAGAUCGUCACCUAACCAUUCUAACACAUAGAAAGAGUUUCCAAAUAUAUCUACAUGCAUUCCAACUAUCCUCUCACAUUAUACCAUUACUUUUGUUUCACAUUACAACACAUGAACAACCCUUGCUAUAAGUUACUCGCCCCCUUGAACACUUUUCCCUUCUCUUAUACACAAAAGUUCACUCCACACCAGGAACAAUCAAAUAUAAGUCUUCCUACUCUAUACCAACAAAGCACAACAUAUAUAAUUCAAUAACACAACAUAAUCAAAUCCAUAUGUAGAACACACACCAUGUCAUCAACAUGAAGAACAACGACACAUUUAACAUUCCUUAAGUUUCACAACUAUGUAAAUCAUUAGUCCUCUCAAGGAAUCCAAACUUAAACAGUUAGCAUAGCUAUAUGUAAUUCCCCAUCCAAUAUGUAUGUCCGAACGUGACAACCAAUCCAUAGUUAUGCAAAAACUUGGUAACGGAUCAAAGUUAGUUAUGUUGGAACGUGGCAACAAGCCAAGUUUGUUAUGCCGAAAUGUGACAACUGAUCCAAGUUAGUUAUACCGGAAUGUGGCAACCAAUCCAUUCAUUAAUCCAUUAUCUUAAUCACAACAUAUCAGCAUAGUCAUAUAAAAAAAUAUUUAUGAUCCGUAGUGUCGUCAUUCAUAGAUACUUGUAUACCUACACAUACCACAAUGAAGUAAGAACAACAAACAUCACUAAAUCAUAGAAUCACCCUCCUUACAAUGAAAUAUUCAUCAACGCACAUCAUGUAACCUUAAUUCAACCAUACCCAACCCUUAUUCAUCUUCUAACACUUAUUCUGGGGGUUUAAAGUAUAAAUCAUUCGGUGCACGAAGGCUUACCCAUAAUUCCUACUAAUAUAUAUAAAUUGUAUAGGUAGAAGAUGUAUUUUUUGAUUUUGUUUUCAUUAUUUUAUAUGGCUGCUGUAGUACUGCAUCUUAUAUAAGAACAUUAACAAUACUAGUUCUAUAAGGACAUUAAUAUCUAAGGUAUUACAAAUGCACACAACUUCACUACUAAUAGGUAUCUUAUAGAGUUGUAUAGCUAAUCAACUCCCUCACGUAAUUGAUGUCUUAAUACUCCCCUUGCAAACAGAAGGUGGGUAACCAACUCUAAGUUUGUCCCUUAAGAACUGGAACUGAGCAGAUGAUAAGGACUUGGUGAAGACAUCGGCUAGUUGAUCCUUGGAAAAGAUAAAAUGCACAAGUAGGUCCUUUCUCGCUACCUUAUCCCUGACUAAAUGGAAAUCAUUUUGCACAUGCUUGGUACGAGCAUGUAAUAUAGGAUUAACAGAUAAAUAAGCAGCGCCAAUGUUGUCACACCAUAAGAUAGGAUCUUUUGGUAGGGAGACAUCAAGCUCGAAUAAGAGCGAUUCAAUCCAAGUUAGUUCAGCUGCGGCAUCAACUAAAGCUUCAUAUUCAUAUUCAGUUGAAGACCUAGCAACUGUAUGUUGCUUCUUUGAUGACCAAGAAACUAAGGAAGAUUCCAGAAAAUAGCAUAAUUACCUGUUGAUUUUCGAUCAUCUAAAGAGCCACCCAAUCAGCGUCCGUGAAGACUUGAAUAAACUGAGUAUCAGACUUAGGAAUGAAAUGACACAUAUCCUUGGUGUGCUGCAAGUAUCGCAAUAUCCUUUGACAGCAGCCCACUGAUUUGUGGAAGGAUUAUGCAUAAAUUGAAACACUUUGUUCACCACAAAAGAGAGAUCUGUAUGGGUGAGAGUGAGGUACUGAAGAGCUCUAACAGUUUGUCGAUAUAGAGACGGAUCAUGAAAAGGAGGGCUGUCAUUUUUUUGAAGCUUUAUAGAAGGAGACAUGGGUGGUACCAGUGGAUUACAUAUCUUCAUUUUGCACGUUCCAAUAAGCUUGAAAUAUAGUGAUGUUGGUAUAAAGAGAGACCAGACUUUGUACGUUCAACUUGGAUGCCAACGAAAAGAUUCAAUGGUCCAAGAUCUUUAAAGGCGAAGACAUAGCCCAAUCGAAGAAUAAUAUUGUCCAAGAAUUCAGAAUCACUCCCUGUAAAUAUUAUAUCAUCUACAUAGACAAUGAGAUGGAGAAACCCAUAUACAGCAAAAGGUUGUGAAACUUUAAAUACCAUGCACGAGGAGUUUGUUUGAGUCCAUAUAAAGACUUGUGUAAUCAACAAAAUUGAUCGGGGAGAUGUGGAUAAAUAAAACCAAAGGGUUGAGCCAUAUAUACCUCUUCACGAAAGUCACCAUGAAGGAAAACAUUUUGGACAUCAAGUUGUCGCAAACGCUAGUCAUGAGAAGAAGUAAACGUUAGAAUGAUAUGAAUUGUUGUGGGUUUGACGACAGGACUAAACGUCUCAAAGAAGUCGUGCCCUUCUCCUUGAUGAAAUUCUUUGGGUACUAACCUUGCCUUAUAGCGCUCAAUAGUUCUAGCGGAAUUUUCUUGAUUUUAAAAACCCAUUUGCAGCCCAAAACAUUUAUCGAGGGGUUGCAAGGAAUAAGGGACCAGGUUUUAUUAUGCAAAAGAUCAGUCAUUUCACAAGCCAUCCGCAAGUCUGAUGAUCUAUUAGCAAUAGUGGAACAUGUUGGUUCACUGGUUGGACAAGUUGGUGAGGAAGAUGAAACUACAAGGUUGAAGGAUAGUUGCAUAUUGACUAUCUUGAAAUUGUGAGUCCUAAUAGUCAACAUAGAGGGUUGGUGCGAUCAGGGAUAAAUGGGGAGGCAUUAACUAGUUGUAUGGAAGGAACAGGAGCAGCUAUUUUAGAAUCAGUAGGGAUAAAGGACGAGGGAUCGGCUAGACUCAAAUGGUGGCCUUUUUGUGAUAGCGAUUUGGAGACACUGAGGUUGAUAUUGAUUUGGAAAUACUGGAUAAUAUAUGGACAUGGGAUGUGGGAAAAGAUACAAGCAAUGAAAGCCAAGGAGACUUAUAGUGGACCAUGUGCGUAGGAGGUGAUCCUAGUAGAGAAUUUAAGAAGAAAGGAAAUUGUUCCUCCUCGAAACGUACAUGACGGACCAAAUAUAACCUACCUGACUUUGGAUGAAUACAUCUAUAUCCUAAGUAUCUUGUAUUGUAGCCCAGAAAAACACAAGGUGUUGUGCGAAAAUAAAACUUGUGUUUAUUAUAAGGACGUAGAGAGGGAAAACAAAGAAACCCAUAUUCUUUAAGAAAACGAUAGUCAGGCAAAUUGUUGAGAACUAAUUUGAAUGGAGAAGAAUUAUUAUUUGAUGGAGAAUAAAGGAGAUUGAUUAGAUAAACAGCAGUAUCAAAAGAAAAUGCCAAUAUUUUGACGGAGUAGAGCUAUCUGUGUUAUGCCUCGUAUUUUUUUAUACGUAGUGCGCAUCAUGAUCUAGUAGAUGUAAGUCCGGGGAAUGAGAUUUUAUUUUAAGUUCCGGGGAAUGAGAUUUUAUUUUAAGUUCCAAGUGAUUAAAGAAAUUUUAGGCAAGGAUGUUAAUUCCAAAUGUGAUAUUAAGUAUGAGUUGGCUAAUGUAAGUGCCAUUAAUUUUAAGUGAGGGAUUAAUUAGUGACUGAUUAGGAUUAAUUUAAUCCAAUGGGCCCCACUACUCAUAAUUGGUGGCUGAUUAGGAUUAAUUUAAUCCAGUGGGCCCCACCACUCAAGGCAAAUAUUAAAAAAGGGAUCAGAUUGUGAGCUGGCCUUAGUGGACAGGUGUAGAGGGGGGCUGCCUCCACUUCAUACUAUUAAAUGAGGUGGAGAAAUCUACUCCAUGCUAAAUAAAGUGGUGAAAUGCAUUGCUGCAUAUCAUCUCCUUCUUCACCACUUGUCUUAGGCAGCCAUGGAAAUGGAGAAACCAACCCUGCAACUCUUGGCCAGCAGCUGCAAAUAAUUUGGUUAGUAAUCUCCUUGUUUGGUGUGUUAAUUCUUUAGAAUACCUUUGUUAAUUAUCCAUUAAUUUUAAGAAGGGGGCGUGACCAGUAGCUUAGGAAGUUUGUUUUAGUUAUUGAAUGUGCUAAGUAUGAACGGAAACCAUAAUCGGAUUAUUAGUGGUGUCGUGUUGGUGCUUGGGCUGUUUUGAUUAAAGCAAAAUGCGGAAAAAUUCUAUUUUGGUAGUAUGUAUAUGUUAAAUGUGAUUAUGAGUAUAUACUCCAAAGGAUGAAUACGAUAAGGUAGAUGUGUUGCGAAUUAUAAAAUGAGUUAUCGCUUGCUGUGUCGUUGCUUCGCUGCUAUGGUUGCCGAGACGGAACUGUUUUGGGGAGGGGACUGUUUAAUAUGAUUCGUUGGGUUAUAUGUGUUAUUGGUAUUGCUGUGGAUAAUUUGGGUUGUUGUCGGAUUGGGACGAAGUAAGGAAAAUAGGGGAAGUGCUGCCGAAUUUUCGUUAGACUAUUAGCUAGCUUACAAGAAAGUAAAGCGCGAUGUUUAUCUAAUUGCGGCAGGAUUGUUGCUUGUUAUAGAUUAAUAACUUGAGCAAUAAAUAUUGGACGUGUGGCUCGAUUAUACGGUAUGUAACGCUGUCCCUUCUUUCUUUGUUUGGCAUGACUUUUAAAAAUAAGCGAAUAACAGACACGUUUGAUACUUACCUCUAGAUCG